rnacentral:ncRNA from 1 species
CGAAAAGCAAUGAUAGGAAUUUUAUUAGUGUAGUUUUCCCUGUAACAGAGAGCUGGUGGUUGCUGCAAACCAGUACAUAGAACACAUGAAUUACGAUCCUAGAGCAUCUUCCUCGAAACGAAUUGUGAGGGGAAGACGGUGAAGAGCCGUUAUGAAAUGAAGAUAUUAGUAUCGUUUUUAAUACUAAUAAUUUAGGGUGGUACCGCGAAUAUUUCGUCCCUACU